AUACCAGCCCCCCGAGUGGUCGGGACGAUUAUUGGGCCUAAAGCAUCCGUAGCCGGUUCUACAAGUCUUCCGUUAAAUCCACCUGCUUAACAGAUGGGCUGCGGAGGAUACUAUAGAGCUAGGAGGCGGGAGAGGCAAGCGGUACUUAGUGGGUAGGGGUAAAAUCCGUUGAUCCAUUGAAGACCACCAGUGGCGAAGGCGGCUUGCCAGAACGCACUCGACGGUGAGGGAUGAAAGCUGGGGGAGCAAACCGGAUUAGAUACCCGGGUAGUCCCAGCUGUAAACGAUGCAGACUCGGUGAUGAAUAGGCUUCGUGCCUAUUCAGUGCCGCAGGGAAGCCGUUAAGUCUGCCGCCUGGGGAGUACGGUCGCAAGACUGAAACUUAAAUGAAUUGACGGG
rnacentral:rRNA from 1 species